GAUGAACGUUGGCGGCGUGCCUAAUACAUGCAAGUCGAACGGUAACAGGUCUUCGGAUGCUGACGAGUGGCGAACGGGUGAGUAACGCGUGGGUGACCUGCCCCGAAGUGUGGGAUAACAGUCCGAAAGGAUUGCUAAUACUGCAUAAUAUCCAAGAGAUUAGAUGCUUUUUGGAUUAAAGGAGUAAUUCGCUUCGGGAGGGGCCCGCGUCCCAUCAGCUAGUUGGUAAGGUAAUGGCUUACCAAGGCGAUGACGGGUAGGGGACCUGAGAGGGUGGCCCCCCCAAAUGGAACUGAAACACGGUCCAUACACCUACGGGUGGCAGCAGUAGGGAAUAUUAGUAAUGGGCGAAAGCCUGAACUAGCAACGCCGCGUGUGCGAAGAAGGCCUUCGGGUCGUAAAGCACUUUUUGAGAGGAUGAGGAAGGACGGUACUCUCAGAAUAAGUCUCGGCUAACUACGUG
rnacentral:rRNA from 1 species